rnacentral:lncRNA from 1 species
GAGAAUACGAUAGAGAGAGAGAGAGAGAAAGUAGAAGGGCGACAACGACAGAGAUAUGGUCGCAUCCUUCACCUUCGACGCCUACGUCUGAAAUUCGGAAGAUAUUCAACACUUCGAUUUGUUCGACCUCUGAGAUACCAAAUUAGAUGGAGACACCAUUUUUGUAGUUAGACUUGCAGUUGCUGGUGUUGCAUCUGCAGGGACGUAUGGAAUCCAAGUUUGGAGUGCAUUUAAGGCUAGACCAGUCACACCUGUAGUUCACAAUUUUUUUCAUGGCAGUUUUCAACCUCAAAAAAAGGAGGAACGGAGUAAGAAGUCUUCAAUUAUGCUACUUCGUACACUGACUCACCGCCACAAUCAAGUAGUAAAUCCUUAAGGUUUUGACCAACAUGACCUUAGAACAUAAUAACCACUUUUCAUAUACGCAUAAAUCUCGUACCACUUAGCCUAAUUUUUAUGUAUUUAGUAUAGUAAAGG